CCAAUAUGUUUUUUCUGUCGGCUUACUUUGUACUAAUUGUCCAAUAUGAGGAUUAUCUCUAUGUGCUUCUCAUAUAUCUUCCCUGGUAAUUGACUUGCAUGGAUUUAUACACUCCAUUGAGUAAUCGAGAUAAUUCAUUGCUGACUAUGACACAUUCGAUUCCUGGAUGGUCGCUUCAACGCAACCAGACACCAGUUCUUCUGUAUACUGC